AGCACUCAGCAGAGCUGCGGCCCGGACUCGAGUCGCACUCGAAUCGUGGUCCCUGGAUACGUUCGUUGAAUUAUUUAGUAACGAUCCCCAGCUUUUUAAUGCUUCUUUUAAACAAAACCCCUCUGAAAAUGGUGCUUCUUCAGAAGUAGCAAACUACUGAAUACGAUUUAAAAAUUUUUCUAUAUUAAUUUUACUACCGAUGUUUUCGUAUGUGAUUGAAGUAAGGGCAGUGUUGCAAAUGUCUCUAUCGUUGGAAUUCCAUACAAGGUUGUUGCACUGCAGAACAGCUGUGAACGCUUACUAUCUAUCUUCUGUAGACACAAUUGGUAGUGCUUUGCAGAUUAUUACAAACAUGUUGUUGCACAAACAAUACCAUUUAGGUCACAGAGAAGGCAGCAGUCACUCUCGGAGCAGACUGCUGAGAAGACUGGAAAUAAUGAGGUAGUUCUCUGUUCCCAUUUUGGUGACUUUUUGACCCAAAGAGCAGGCAGUGCUUGGUAGGCAGGUAAUAAUAAUCCUGGGCCUCUGAAGGGGUUACAAGCUGCGUGCAUUAAGCCUCAGAACCUCUGGUGCUUCCCAUCAGUCUUAGGAGACUAUCUGUGGUUUCAGUACUCGCUGAAAUACACCUGGCAGCCGUUAGAGCAGUGGGUCUCUCGCUGUCACCUGCUCUAUUCUGAGAAUAUAGAAUACAGCAUAGGCAGUGUAUGUCUGACCUUUAUGUCAAAUUAAAUGGCCACAAUCUUGCUCCCUGCAGUUCUUCUGAGGACUUGGGGAAGCUUCUGGGUCUCACCGCUGAUCUUAUCCUCACUUUUUAAGAAAAAAAAAUGUUGUGGGUUAACUAGUACAAAUACUAAAUGAAAUGAUGGGGUCUUCAUUUUCAGCCACAGAACAGAACUAAAUGUAAUCUUACUCUUUCCACAGCCAACUGCAUAGCUUCCCUACCAUUUGUAGCGUUAGAAUUGAGCCCCGUGGCCUGAUUCUGCCAGAAGCUCUUAGUAGUUCAGAUAACUGUUCUCACCAUAUCACUUGUCAGACCAGGGUUUUGCCUUACACAGGAUCAGUAAGGAAAUUCAUCAGCUGAUUGCCAAAUCAUGCUUUCUGUGGGAGAGCACGAUGAAAACAAACAGCUAAUAAAUCUUUCUAACAUUAAAUUAUUUUAACUAAUUUUACCCUUAGUUUCAUUUGCCACUUACUAAAAUUCACUUAGAAACAAAAACAAAUCUCCUACGCAUCAACAGAAAGUACUUUAUGAAAUGCUUUAUUUAUAGUAAAUAAUGGGAUAAAUUGUAAAGAAGCCUGGAUUCUUGUAUACGCUAAUGAUGAAAACACACAAUAAAGUCCCCAGAGGCUUUCAGGAAAGACAGGUUUCAUUACUGGUUAUCAUACAGUCCACAACCAGUUAAUGCGCAACGCUUGUCCUGCAGUGUACGCACCUUGGGCCCUAACGAUGCAGAAUAUUUUUUCUGGAUAUUUUUGUUUAUUAUGUUUAGAGAGCUAGGUCUGCAUGUUAAGUUGCUGGCUGUUUCAGGGGAUUUACUAGCUUUUUAAUAUCUGUGUAGCUCUCUCUGAACUUCUGGCUUCAUUAAGAUGUAUCAAUUUUAAUGCCUAAAAAUUAAGGUGAUAAUGACUUCUGAUGCUUUGAUAGCAGUAGCGUGUUCACAUUUUUCACUGUGUGUGUGUUUUUAGUGCAGUUAAUAACUUAUUGCUUACAGUUAGAUGGAGUGGCCUGCAGCUGCUCCACUGCGAUCUGUGGGUGUUCGAGCUCUGCACCAUCCUGGCUGUGCUGUAGCCUUGAGGCUAUGCGGUGUGUGUGGUCAUUUUCUACCGCAGUUAGGCUCUGAUAACAUCACAUUAGUCAGAAUAAUGAGGAGGCCGAAGGAAAGCUAAAAUUGAAGCUUUAUGAAUCUGACUCAUUCAGUUUCUGGCACAAGGAGGUGCAAAUUGCACUUCCUGAGUUUGCAGCACACCUAGCAAACCUCAAUUACAUACCAAAUACACUGCUUUGAAAAGGCCUGCUUGCUACCUCAGCGUGUGCCCAUCUUAACUCACGUGUUGUUGCUUCCUAUUACUAAUUUUAAUGUCUGUAGCAGCUGCUUGGAGGAUCUUGCUAAGAGGCUGCUUCAUGGUGUUGCACUUCUCACCAGCACUGCAGUCUUUACUCACUGUCACUCAUAGCAGACAUCUUGAAAUAACAGCAUUCUGAUAAUCAGUUGAACAAGAGCAUGACAGACAUAGGACCCCCAUCCUCUCUGCCCUUACCUUGUGAUAGGCAGGGUACAGACAAUUGUGAACCCAGCUCGUGGUGAUAAGCAGCACGUUGCAUUGGGUAUUUUUUCUUUAAAGUUGUAAUAACUUUUUUCUGAGAUAUGUUUAGAAUUGGAAAUCUGUUCCAUCAAUCAAAAUAAUUUUAUUACCCUAAUUUCUUAUAAUAUCAAAGAGUACCCAAACCUGACCAGAGCUCUGGUGUCUGGCUGAAAGCAUGAUGCAGCCCCUUCCAGGCCACAAGCACAGUGUGAGAAAUGUCAGCAACAUGCAUUGUGUUGUAGCAGUGUAAGUCAGAUUCAGCUUACGUUGUGCAUACAGAUAGCCACAAGAUAUGCUUAGGUAGAGGAACCAGCAAAAGGAAAUUUUGUUUGCAAAUUUCUGGUGGCCAGUGCAAAGGAGGAGCUUUCUAGGGCAAGUUGGAGAAGAUGGCAUGCAUGUCUUACACAGUGCCCUUGUGGUGUACACAAAAAUUUUCUGGGCCAGAUAUCCCUGUUAGUUGGAUGCUGUCUUCUAUACUGAGUGCACAGUUGCCACUGGUAGUGAGCAUGAACAAAGCAAGGCAGCUAACUUUUCAGGACUUUCAUAGACAUCUACUUCAUUGUCAAUCUAUGACUUGACACAAAAUUUGUUAAGAAUAUAUAGAGAUUUUAAGGUUGAUUCACAUACAUUUUCCAGGCCAUUUUUAUUUUUCUUCCACAUUCAAAAUUCACUGUGUGCAUUUGAAAUUCUGGAAAAUGACGAUGAGAAUCCCAGGGAGGAAUUUUUCAUUAAAGUGAGCAGUAUAUUAACAGAAAGACAGGCACAUAAGUAUGAACUACUCCAGUUUCAACAGAGGCAAAAUACAAGGAUCUGGGAGCUGGCUUUACAAAUCAUGAGUGCCCUCAACUGAUUCGUCAGAAGGAAAAUACUUUGUAUUACUGCAUAUAGAAAAUGUAGUAAAACCAUCUCUUCAUACAGCUGAUUUCAUUUCUGUUAUUUCAGGUACGUUGCUAAUGCAAAAAAAUAGUCUGAAAACACUCUAAAAUGAAGAAAGACAUUCAAUAUUUUCUCAUGUGCCAUGAAUUAUUCUGCUGUUCCAUGUCUGUGACUGAUGCCAUCUGUUACACAGUACAAGCACUUGAAUGAGAAGAAUGAGAAGUUUGUAGUUUAGAUGAUCUUUGGGGUACAGGGUGCAAAUGGGAAGAGAACUCUGCCUUUGAUGGUACUUAACCAGUGUCUUGAUGUGUGCUGUCCUUUACUUUCUCAGUGAAACGCUACUGCCUCAUCACUUGUGCCUGUGUUAUUACAAAGCCUAAAGCUAUUUGUCAGUUACUAAGAGAAGGCAUACAAGAAAGACCAGAAGACAUAAUCAAAAAAGAACCUUCUUGCCCAACUGUGCUGGAAAUUUUCACCAGAAUUGUUGGAAUUUGUUUUAAUUUGUUUGCUGGAAUUGUUUUAAUUUUAGUUCAUACAAUCAUCAUCGUAAUUAUGCUUUUACUGCAGAAAAGGAAAACAUGCUGGCCAUUCAAACAGCUCAAACAGAAAGGUCAUAAAAACUAUCAUUAUUCUUGGACUACAAGUGAGUUUCGAUCUUUUACUACUUUUUAUAAAAAUAGCUGUCAGAAGAUAUCCUGGUAACACUAUUUUAAAUUUAUCAGCCUUUUUUUGUUCUGUUGUUUGCACAAUGCUUCAGCUUUGUGGUUUAUGGUCUGCAAAACAAAGAUCUGCAAAGACUUAACAACUGUUGAGUUUACUGAGUUAGGUGACUGAUCCCAGAUGUCAAACUCUAGCUCUUCCACCUUAAAAAAUAAAGUCAUGCCAGCACUGAAAAACAAGAAAGCCUCGGAUACUGCUGCACAGUGUUACUAUGACAUUGGCUGGAACUGAAAGGAAGCUGAACUGGUUAACAGCUUUCAGAUUCUUGUUAUUAUGACUGUGCAUUUAUUUAACUCACAAUGAACCAAGAUCAAGCAGAAGACUGAGUAUGAGAAGGCAUGUGAAAAUGCUGCAGACCUGUCAAAAGAGAACAAAAAUAGAGUUUUAUUUUAAAAUAAAGGAAAGCUUUCUUUAACUGGGUUUUAGAAAAAAAUGAUGAUUAUACAGAAUAGAGGAGAAUCUAGCUGCAGGCAACUGUUCUUAGGUAAAUAGAAAGGGCUCGGAUCACAGCUUUUCCAAAUGUGAAGUCAACUUGCAGUGGUGUCAGAAUUGCUUUCAAUGUUUGUUAAGAUAUACAAUAUUUGGUCUUCGCUUAUUACAUUUAGAACAAGGAAGUUUUAUUAACGUUUUAGUGAACUGCAAUCAUUUUGUGGAUGUGUCAGUUUUACAGUUGAAUUCUAAAAUCCUUCAAAAUUAAUAAUACAAAUCAUUAUUUAUUUAUUUAUUUAUAAAGAUUCUUCGGGUGCAGAUAUACUGGUUUUUUGUAUCAAAUGAUUCCAACUGCUGAGAAAUUACUGUGGUGCUCUGUUUAAUCAGUUUACAGAAUUGUGUCUUCACCAUCACGAAAGGUAAGGGUACACGGCUAACAAACUCUAGGCUAUAAAGUAUGCUAGCCUGCACAAGUAAGCAUGGAUAAUGAUGACAGCUUUGUUUUGGCAUAUGCUGAGAAAUUACAAACAAUUCAAUAGUCUAGGCGUUUGUUUUGCCAAUGGACAGAAUGAACAGGAAGGACACAGACACCAAGUUAAAGAAGUGAGUUUAUCUUUACUUGCAUUUAAAGUAAUUAAAUAGUAAGUGAAACGAUACACCAAGAAUAAAACAAAAGAAGGCAAUGCACCAGACCAUUACUACAUAAGAUUAACUACAAUGAUUAAGAAAGACGCAUCACCAAUUGCCCCAAUACUUUACCAUCAUCCAGAUCCACAGUCGCUGCGGAGCCCCAAUUACAGUGAAGAUUCGUAGAACAUUUCCUGUCAGCUGGGAGGUCCUCCACUGUCUUAGAAAUAAUAACUAAUCAAAUGUCCGUGGCUCUUGACCUUCUGGCAGACCAAU